CCUACGGGCGGCUGCAGUGAGGAAUAUUGGUCAAUGGGAGAGAUCCUGAACCAGCCAAGCCGCGUGAGGGAAGACGGCCCUAUGGGUUUUAAACCUCUUUUGUCGGAGAACAAAACCCGGGACGUGUCCCGGACUGCGUGUAUCCGAAGAAACAGCAUCGGCUAACUCCGUGCCAGCAGCCGCGGUAAUACGGAGGUGGCGAGCGUUAUCCGGAUUUAUUGGGUUUAAAGGGUGGGUAGGCGGUCCGUUAAGUCCGCGGUAAAAUUGCGGGGCUCAACCCCGUCGAGCCGUUGAAACUGGCAGACUUGAGGUGGCGAGAAGGCCGCGGAAUGCGAGGUGUAGCGGUGAAAUGCAUAGAGAUAGGGCAGAACUCC
rnacentral:rRNA from 1 species